GACGAACGCUGGCGGCGUGCUUAACACAUGCAAGUCGAACGGAAAGGGCCUGCUUUUGUGGUGUGCUCGAGUGGCGAACGGGUGAGUAACACGUGUGUACCCUGGCCUUUACUUUGAGCUAACUUCAGGCAACUUGGUCUAAUAUCGGGUAGCAGCUCCUGUUGUUUGGUUUGUGUUGGAAAGUUUCGUCUGUUGGGGAUGUACUCGCGGCUUAUCAGCUUGUUGGUUGGGUAGUGGCUUACCAAGGCUUUGACGGGUAGCCGGCCUGAGAGGGUGACAGGGCACAUUGGGACUGAGAUGCGGGCAAGAGGGAUACGGGAGGAAGAAGUGGGAGAUAGUGGAAAAAGGGCGGAAGCAUGAUGCAGCAACGCCGCGUGGGGGAUGACGGCCUUCGGGUUGUAAAACGCUUGCGCCUGUGAGGAAGAGGGAGUGACGGUAAUGGGAAAAGAAGCACCGGCUAACUACGUG
rnacentral:rRNA from 1 species